AUUGAACGCUGGCGGCAUGCCUUACACAUGCAAGUCGAACGGUAACGCGGGGCAACCUGGCGACGAGUGGCGAACGGGUGAGUAACGCAUCGGAACGUGCCCAGUAGUGGGGGAUAGCCCGGCGAAAGCCGGAUUAAUACCGCAUACGACCUACGGGGGAAAGGGGGGGCUCGCAAGACCUCUCGCUAUUGGAGCGGCCGAUGUCAGAUUAGGUAGUUGGUGGGGUAAAGGCCGACCAAGCCUGCGGUCUGUAGCUGGGCUGGGAGGACGACCAGCCACACUGGGACUGAGACACGGCCCAGACUCCUACGGGAGGCAGCAGUGGGGAAUUUUGGACAAUGGGCGCAAGCAUGAUCCAGCCAUGCCGCGUGCGGGAAGAAGGCCUUCGGGUUGUAAACCGCUUUUGUCAGGGAAGAAAAGCCUUGGGUUAAUACCCUGGGGUGAUGACGGUACCUGAAGAAUAAGCACCGACUAACUACGUGCCAGCAGCCGCGGUAA
rnacentral:rRNA from 1 species